rnacentral:rRNA from 1 species
UGAGGAAUAUUGGUCAAUGGGCGAGAGCCUGAACCAGCCAAGUCGUGUGAAGGAAGACUGCCCGCAAGGGUUGUAAACUUCUUUUGUAUGGGAUUAAAGUCGUCUACGUGUAGGCGUUUGCAGUUACCAUACGAAUAAGCAUCGGCUAACUCCGUGCCAGCAGCCGCGGUAAUACGGAAGGUUCGGGCGUUAUCCGGAUUUAUUGGGUUUAAAGGGAGCGUAGGCCGUUUGGUAAGCGUGUUGUGAAAUGUAGGAGCUCAACUUCUAGAUUGCAGCGCGAACUGUCAGACGUGGGUGCGCGCAACGUAGGCGGAAUUCAUGGUGUAGCGGUGAAAUGCUUGGAUGUCAUGAAGAACUCCGAUUGCGAAGGCAGCUUACGGGAGCGCAACUGACGCUGAAGCUCGAAGGUGCGUGUAUCGAACAGG